rnacentral:lncRNA from 1 species
AUGGGCUCGCAGAUCCCCCGUCUCGUCCCCGUCUCGCCGCGCCGCUGCCGCUGCCGCUGCCGCUGCCGCUGCCCCGGCCCCGGCCCCGGCCCUGGCCCGGCCUCGCCCCCUGCCGCGCGGCUCCGGAGUCCCGCCGCGGCGCCGCUCCCGGCCCCGAGCAGCCGCUCUGUCUGCGGCCGCGCCGCCCGGCCGCCGCCCACCCACACUACAGCCUGGGCGGGCGCGGGGGUCGCGGGCGCAGAGUGGCGGGGCGGUGGCCGGGUCCGCAACGGGUCCGACCAGAAGCGCCGUCCGAGCCGCCGCAGCUCCCCGCGGCGCCACGACGAGAAGAGCCGGGCCCCGCAGGCAUCGGCCUCCUCCAUCGCUGCCGGCGGGGCGGGUGCCUCCAGCUCCUUUCGCUUUCAGCGCCGCCCCCCCACUGUGCGCGUGUCCGUGUCCCACCGGUGGCCCCGGUUGGAUCUCCAUGGUUUGCCUCUGCUUGUCUGUAGCCUAGAACAAACCGAACCCCUGCUGCUCAUGUUUCAUCACUACUUUCAAUGAUUAAGAGUAAGUUCCUUUGCUAAAUAAGCUCUCAGAAAUGGAAAUAUUUCUUGUGACUCAGGGAAAAAAUUGGUGACCUUUAGACUUCCUGUUUUUCUUCAGUCUUCAAAACAUUCUUUGAAACUCUUCUGCCAGCUUCUUCCUUCAAACAGUGUCAUGUGUUCCAGAGACCAAUAACUCACCUGUCCCCCAGCUUGUUACAUUGCUUGCUGCUGUAUCACAAAAGCCAAAAAUGCAGAAUAGGCUUUUUCUUUAGUGUGGACAAAAAGGGUCAAGAGAAAUUCCUCUGUGACUGGAAUCAAAAUCAGUGCUUUUACAGUAUAGUAACAUAGUUUUAGUAGAUUCGCAGGAGACAAGAGGCCCAGCCUGCAAGUAAACCUUCAUUCAUGUAGCAAACAACUGAAAACAGGCACUAAAAUUAACAAAGUGUUUAUGGGACAGGUUCCUGGGCAGUCAGAAGAGUCUUAAGGGAAAGACCACCCAUGCUUAGAAACAUAAAUGUGAUCCUUGGUUUCUUUCUGCUUGUAUAGGACUAUACAGAUGGAACCUGGUCUUUGGAGGUGUUUGGGCGCCUAAUUGCAUUUAUGAAUUUGUACUGUGGAGGAGAAUUCUUAGCCAUGUGUCAGGGAACAUAGUAAUAAUAAUGGAAUUAAAGAUGUUGAAGGCUCUUGUAAACAGGAGUGUUUUUUUUUUYCCCCCAUUAUAACCUAAGUCAUAAAUUGAAAUUUUUAAACGGGCACAAUAAUGUGGCUACAAAUUCUUCCCUGGGUGACUUUUUCAGUUUAAUUUAUGUCACUGGGAGUGGGAUUUAGGAAAAACUGAAGGGAAAACAUCACUUAUACUGGAGUGAGCUCAAAAGAGUCUAUGCUGUGUAGCCAGAGAAACUUCCCUGUGCAGACCAGAUUCAGCCUCACUUGGGAAAUUGAACUUUUCACAUGCAGARAAAACUACUUGGAGCUACGCAGGGYUGAAGAGGAAAUCUCUCUUUCUGGUCACCUUU